rnacentral:rRNA from 1 species
AUACGUAGGGGGCAAGCGUUAUCCGGAAUCACUGGGUGUAAAGGGUGCGUAGGCGGCAAUGUAAGUCAGAUGUGAAAUCCCGGGGCUCAACCCCGGGCGUGCAUUUGAAACUGCAUAGCUAGAGUGCGGGAGAGGAAAGUGGAAUUCCUAGUGUAGCGGUGAAAUGCGUAGAUAUUAGGAGGAACACCAGUGGCGAAGGCGACUUUCUGGACUGUAACUGACGCUGAUGCACGAAAGCGUGGGUAGCGAACAGGAUUAGAUACCCUGGUAGUCCACGCCGUAAACGAUGAGUGCUAGGUGUCGGGGGGUCAUACCCUCGGUGCCGGAGCAAACGCAUUAAGCACUCCACCUGGGGAGUACGUUCGCAGGAAUGAA